rnacentral:rRNA from 1 species
UGGGGAAUUUUGGACAAUGGGCGAAAGCCUGAUCCAGCAAUGCCGCGUGUGUGAAGAAGGCCUUCGGGUUGUAAAGCACUUUUGUCCGGAAAGAAAUCCUUGGCUCUAAUACAGUCGGGGGAUGACGGUACCGGAAGAAUAAGCACCGGCUAACUACGUGCCAGCAGCCGCGGUAAUACGUAGGGUGCAAGCGUUAAUCGGAAUUACUGGGCGUAAAGCGUGCGCAGGCGGUUUGCUAAGACCGAUGUGAAAUCCCCGGGCUCAACCUGGGAACCGCAUUGGUGACUGGCAGGCUAGAGUAUGGCAGAGGGGGGUAGAAUUCCACGUGUAGCAGUGAAAUGCGUAGAGAUGUGGAGGAAUACCGAUGGCGAAGGCAGCCCCCUGGGCCAAUACUGACGCUCAUGCACGAAAGCGUGGGGAGCAAACAGGAUUAGAUACCCUGGUAGUCCACGUCCUAAACGAUGUCAACUAGUUGUUGGGGAUUCAUUUCCUUAGUAACGUAGCUAACGCGUGAAGUUGACCGCCUGGGGAGUACGGUCGCAAGAUUAAAACUCAAAGGAAUUGACGGGGUCAUAGCUGUUU